rnacentral:lncRNA from 1 species
AUGACAGAAGCAUCUGUGGUGGUUUAUGACAUGUUUAUCCUCCUGUUCCUUCCCCUCUUCCUCCUCUCCCAGCUGCUCAGUACUCUCUGGCUGCUCAGGAUUGAUGUAUCCAUAGCAGAGGCAGUGGGAAGCAUUGGGAAACCUCUUCUCAUCCCCAUAGCACACUUGACUGGGUGUAGCUUGGACAGCCAUUGUUCUGAAGUUUCCUCACUGCCCAGCUGGAUCCCUUCAGGAAAACCCCCCCAAGUCACUUCUCUUUGCAGGAGAAACUGCCCUGGAUCCCCCCAUCCAGUGCAGCUGUUGGAACACUGCUUCAAAAGAAUCUACCUAGGCACCUGUACCUACCCCACCUUGGGAAGGAGCCUGGUGGAUUGGGAAGAACCCUCUCUGGCUGUGGGGAGUCAAAAUGUACCAGUUCCCACCUCCAGCACCGCAGGAAACCAGAUGAUGGCUGCAUCUUUCACUCAGGUGUGCACCUUGGCAGAAGCUGCAUGUGUUUGAGUAGAGAAGCCAGCACCAAGGUGUUGAGGAAACUUUCCUGUCUGACCAUUCGGGAGUGUGGUGGCCAGAGUGCUUCCUGAACGGUCAGACAGGAAAGUUUCCCUAACGAAGGAUGGACUGUUUGCAUUGUGCACCUGAGUCCCCUGUGCUCACGAGGGGCUUAAGGCUCCAGUUCUGGGCUCCGUCAAAACCAUCUUGCAGGGGCUGGCUGGGAGAAAAAAAUGCCCCUGCAACUGCAGCCAAGCCAGAAAGCAUCCCUGGAGCCGUGGGUCUGCGGGCCCGCACCCACGCUGUACUGUCUGGGGCAGAGCCAGGCAGGUGGAGGCGGCCCCGCUGGGGCACAAGGAGCACACUGCCGGUGCUGAGGAAGCUCCAUCGCUCCCGGGCAGAGGUGACCUGAGCGCAGGCUGUCCCUGGUGAGGUGACCACCGGGAUGUGGUGGGAAGCCGGGGGGUGGAGAAAGAGGACAUGCAGAAGAACCCAGGCUUGCGAACGCAGUUCUGGCAGCUGGGGAGAAGUGCUCUUUUCCCUUCCCUUCUCCAC